GACGUAGGAGGCGAGCGUUAUCCGGAUUCACUGGGCGUAAAGCGCAUGUAGGCGGUUGGACAAGUCGUGUGUUAAAGCCCCUGGCUCAACUGGGGGAGGUCAUGCGAGACUGUGCGACUUGAGGGCAAGAGAGGCACGUGGAACUCCCGGUGUAGCGGUGGAAUGCGUAGAGAUCGGGAAGAACACCAGUGGCGAAGGCGGCUCACUGGCCCGGUACUGACGCUGAGGUGCGAAAGCGUGGGGAGCAAACAGG
rnacentral:rRNA from 1 species